rnacentral:rRNA from 1 species
AACGAACGCUGGCGGCAUGCCUAACACAUGCAAGUCGAACGAGACCUCCGGGUCUAGUGGCGCACGGGUGCGUAACGCGUGGGAACCUGCCUUUAGGUUCGGAAUAACUCCCCGAAAGGGGUGCUAAUACCGGAUAAUGUCUUCGGACCAAGGAUUUAUCGCCUUUGGAUGGGCCCGCGUUGGAUUAGCUAGUUGGUAGGGUAAAAGCCUACCAAGGCGACGAUCCAUAGCUGGUCUGAGAGGAUGAUCAGCCACACUGGGACUGAGACACGGCCCAGACUCCUACGGGAGGCAGCAGUGGGGAAUAUUGAACAAUGGGCGAAAGCCUGAUCCAGCAAUGCCGCGUGAGUGAUGAAGGCCUUAGGGUUGUAAAGCUCUUUUACCCGGGAUGAUAAUGACAGUACCGGGAGAAUAAGCUCCGGCUAACUCCGUG